rnacentral:rRNA from 1 species
UACGUAGGGUGCGAGCGUUGUCCGGAAUUAUUGGGCGUAAAGGGCUCGUAGGCGGUCUGUCACGUCGAAAAGUGAAAACUCAGGGCUUAACCCUGAGCCUGCUUCCGAUACGGGCAGACUAGAGGUAUGCAGGGGAGAAUGGAAUUCCUGGUGUAGCGGUGAAAUGCGCAGAUAUCAGGAGGAACACCUAUUGCGAAGGCAGCUCGCUGGGACGUCACUGACGCUGAGACGCGAAAGCGUGGGGAGCAAACAGG